UACGUAGGGGGCAAGCGUUGUCCGGAAUCAUUGGGCGUAAAGAGCGCGUAGGCGGCCCUGUAAGUCCGCUGUGAAAGUCAAGGGCUCAACCCUUGAAUGCCGGUGGAUACUGCAGGGCUAGAGUCCGGAAGAGGCGAGUGGAAUUCCUGGUGUAGCGGUGAAAUGCGCAGAUAUCAGGAGGAACACCGAUGGCGAAGGCAGCUCGCUGGGACGGUACUGACGCUGAGGCGCGAAAGCAUGGGUAGCGAACGGG
rnacentral:rRNA from 1 species